rnacentral:rRNA from 1 species
CAAGACAGUGGCGGUCGAGAGAGAGUCAGCUAUACGAUGGGGCGCGCCGGCAAACCAGACCGCUGGCACACUGGUGGCGGGUACUGUCACCCGCGCCGUUUGUCGCAACGUCCAGGGCGAGAGCCUUAGCCGGGUGUGGCCCCAUCCGUUAUGCUAGCCAAUUCCAUGCUGCCUGCUGCGCUCCCUCCCCACGCCCUGGGCAGCAGCUCCCGCAAUCGGGGGUGGAAGCCGGAUCAAGGAAUCAAUGCUCUGCACCCAUUCAGUCAAUUGAAUGUGGUGCAGUUUAGGUUAUUUCUGCUGAAGGGGGAUCCCCCGGCAGAGGUGGACGGCACAUGCAGGCUCCGAACGACGGAAGCCAACCA